rnacentral:pre_miRNA from 1 species
AACCUAAAGCUUUCUACAACCUAAAGCUUUCUACAAUUUGUAGAAAGCUUUAGGUUGUAGAAAGCUUAAGGU